CCUACGGGCGGCUGCAGUGGGGAAUAUUGGACAAUGGGCGAAAGCCUGAUCCAGCCAUGCCGCGUGUGUGAAGAAGGCCUUCGGGUUGUACAGCACUUUCAGUGGGGAAGAAAGCCUUGGGGCUAAUACCCUCGAGGAAGGACAUCACCCACAGAAGAAGCACCGGCUAACUCCGUGCCAGCAGCCGCGGUAAUACGGAGGGUGCGAGCGUUAAUCGGAAUUACUGGGCGUAAAGCGCGCGUAGGCGGUCUGAUAAGCCGGUUGUGAAAGCCCCGGGCUCAACCUGGGAACGGCAUCCGGAACUGUCAGGCUAGAGUGCAGGAGAGGAAGGUAGAAUUCCCGGUGUAGCGGUGAAAUGCGUAGAGAUCGGGAGGAAUACCAGUGGCGAAGGCGGCCUUCUGGACUGACACUGACGCUGAGGUGCGAAAGCGUGGGUAGCAAACAGGAUUAGAUACCCCGGUAGUC
rnacentral:rRNA from 1 species